GAAAUGCGAUAAGUAAUGUGAAUUGCAGAAUUCAGUGAAUCAUCGAAUCUUUGAACGCACAUUGCGCCCAUUAGUAUUCUAGUGGGCAUGCCUGUUCGAGCGUCAUUUCAACCCUUAAGCCCUCGUUGCUUAGUGUUGGGAGCCUACGCCUGCCGUAGCUCCCCAAAUCUAGUGGCGGAGUCGGUUCCCACUCUAGACGUAGUAGAUUUAUUCAUUCUCGCCUACGAGUUGGACCGGUCCCCUGCCGUUAAACCCCCCCUAUUUUCCAAAGGUUGACCUCGGAUCAGGUAGGAAUACCCGCUGAACUUAA
rnacentral:misc_RNA from 1 species